rnacentral:rRNA from 1 species
GGGAUCUCACGCGACGACGGGUAGCCGGCCUGAGAGGGUGACCGGCCACACUGGGACUGAGAUACGGCCCAGACUCCUACGGGAGGCAGCAGUGGGGAAUAUUGCACAAUGGGCGCAAGCCUGACGCAGCAACGCCGCGUGAGGGAUGACGGCCUUCGGGUUGUAAACCUCUUUUGGUAGGGAAGAAGCUUUCGAGUGACGGUACCUGCAGAAAAAGCACCGGCUAACUACGUGCCAGCAGCCGCGGUAAUACGUAGGGUGCAAGCGUUGUCCGGAAUUAUUGGGCGUAAAGAGCUCGUAGGCGGUUUGUCGCGUCUGCUGUGAAAUCCCGAGGCUCAACCUCGGACGUGCAGUGGGUACGGGCAGGCUUGAGUGCGGUAGGGGAGAUUGGGAUUCCUGGUGUAGCGGUGGAAUGCGCAGAUAUCAGGAGGAACACCGAUGGCGAAGGCAGAUCUCUGGGCCGCUACUGACGCUGAGGAGCGAAAGCAUGGGGAGCGAACCGGAUUAGAUACCCGGGUAGUCCAUGCCGUAAACGUUGGGAACUACAUGUAGGGGCCGUUUACCGGCCUCCGCCUUGACACUCAAUUACUUCACUAACCAGCUGGGGAGUGCGGAA